rnacentral:rRNA from 1 species
CUGAACACGGACAAGAGUCUAGAUAUGCGCGAGUCAAAGGUUGGCUAAACCCCAAGGCGAAACGAAAGUGAAACGAUUUUUCUUCAUAGGGCCGAUCCGGUUCGGGGUGCGUUAGCGGGGAGUCUUUAUCCCCUCCGUAGUCGUUCCCUUCUUCUUCGGCAUCCUUCUCGCUGCUGCUGCUGCGCGCGUGUUUCGCACGCGCGUUAGCAAGCGGGCGGGAAGGCGUGUCGUCGUCGUAGGGGCGCUGCGGGGGGUGGCUCCUUUGCUUUCCCUUCGAUUCGUCUCCCAUAAAGUAUGAGGACGGCGCAGGCUCGGGGCUCGCAGGCGACCUCCCUGCCGUUAAGGCUCAACCGUUCGCAUCCUUCGUUCGGGCGCUCGCAUCAUCGGUUGGAUCGUCGACGCUCCGUCGUCGUCGGCGCUUCGGCGUCGGCGUCGGCGGGGCUUAGGCCCCAGCCGUAACGUAAAAGCGCCUCGUUCGAGGUCGUCGGUUCGCUGGCGAGGGACGAGCGGCGGGUUCUUUGAGCGCAUAUUUUAGUACCCGAAAGAUGGUGAUCUAUGCUUGGCCAGGAUGAAGCCAGAGGAAACUCUGGUGGAGGUCCGUAGCGAUUCUGACGUGCAAAUCGAUCGUCG